rnacentral:lncRNA from 1 species
AGAUGGGUCACUGUUGGAGUCUGUGGGUCUUUCGCUAUUUAAUGCCUCUAUUUUUCUCUUUGUUCAAGUUUCUGAGAUAUCAGAGCAUCAAUAUUAUUUCUCAAAAAGAAAUUAGCCAGAUUCUCCAGGAGGCAGCAGAAGCCAAUUUAGCAGAGCUGCCUGAUGCCACGUCUCAUGCUCUUCACCUCUUCCUUUGUCAGGUUCAGAGCAGCCAUUGCCAGGUGGAGCCAGAGCAGUCAGGGACCAUUCAGACCUUGCUGGAGCGCCUCCUGGGACAGAGGAACACAAGUGUAAAACAUCAGGACAUUGUAUUUCUGGGCAGUGUGGCAGUGUCCCUGUCGCACAUUGGAGACUGAAAUGAGAAGAUAUGGUGCACGCAGCAGAGGAGCAAGGCAAGAAUGGAACAGGAGACUCCAUCCUGCCUUUUAUUCCCAGUGAGCAGUAAAUAGAAGAUGGAUGAAGGAAAUAAUUUGUAGCCCGUUUUCAGAAAAAAAAAGGU